UAAAGAAUUUCGGUCAUCGAUGGGGAUGCGUUCCAUUAGCUUGUUGGCGGGGUAACGGCCCACCAAGGCAUCGAUGGAUAGGGGUUCUGAGAGGAAGGUCCCCCACAUUGGAACUGAGACACGGUCCAAACUCCUACGGGAGGCAGCAGUGAGGAAUAUUGGUCAAUGGGCGCUAGCCUGAACCAGCCAAGUAGCGUGAAGGAUGACUGCCCUAUGGGUUGUAAACUUCUUUUAUAUGGGAAUAAAGUGCAGUAUGUAUACUGCUUUGCAUGUACCUUAUGAAUAAGGAUCGGCUAACUCCGUGCCAGCAGCCGCGGUAACACGGAGGAUCCGAGCGUUAUCCGGAUUUAUUGGGUUUAAAGGGAGCGUAGGCGGGUUGUUAAGUCAGUUGUGAAAGUUUGCGGCUCAACCGUAAAAUUGCAGUUGAUACUGGCAUCCUUGAGUACAGUAGAGGUAGGCGGAAUUCGUGGUGUAGCGGUGAAAUGCUUAGAUAUCACGAAGAACUCCGAUUGCGAAGGCAGCCUGCUGGACUGUAACUGACGCUGAUGCUCGAAAGUGUGGGUAUCAAACAGGAUUAGAUACCCUGGUAGUCCACACAGUAAACGAUGAAUACUCGCUGUUUGCGAUAUACAGUAA
rnacentral:rRNA from 1 species